AUUAAGGUCCUGCCUGCCCAGUGAAAUUUUAACGGCCGCGGUAUCAUAACCGUGCAAAGGUAGCGUAAUCACUUGUCCCCUAAAUAGGGACCCGUAUGAACGGCUAAAUGAGGGCAAACCUGUCCCCUUAGACUACUCAAUGAAACUGAUCUAUCAGUACAAAAGCUGAUAUACACCCAUAAGACGAGAAGACCCUGUGGAGCUUUAAACUCAAACACUACCCUUAACCAACCCCCCUGGCCCCUGGCCAUAAAACACGCUCCAAAAUAGUGUUAGUUUUAAGUUGGGGCGACUGCGGAACAAAACAAAACUUCCAUAAUACAGGCUCCCCCCCAUCAAAGACCUACAAGUCAAAGAAAAACACCAUUGACCCAGUUAAUACUGAUCGCCGAACCAAGUUACCCCAGGGAUAACAGCGCCAUCCCCUUUAAGAGUCCCUAUCGCUAAGGGGGCUUACGACCUCGAUGUUGGAUCAGGACCCCCAGGUGGUGCAGCCGCUACCAAA
rnacentral:rRNA from 1 species